rnacentral:tRNA from 2 species
GCCGGGAUGGUCUAAUCGGUGAAGGCGUCGCCCCGGUUGGACGAAGGUUGCGGGUUCGAUCCUCGCUUUCGGCC